UGGUAAUGAUGGCAGAGAGGUCACACCCGUUCCCAUACCGAACACGGAAGUUAAGCUCUCUAGCGCCGAUGGUAGUUGGGACCUUGUCCCUGUGAGAGUAGGACGUCGCCAAGCA
rnacentral:rRNA from 22 species